rnacentral:rRNA from 1 species
UUGGAGGGCAAGUCUGGUGCCAGCAGCCGCGGUAAUUCCAGCUCCAAUAGCGUAUAUUAAAGUUGUUGCAGUUAAAAAGCUCGUAGUUGAAUUUCGGGAUUGGCGUGUCGGUCGUGCCUUACGGGGUAUGAACUGGCGUCGUCGAUUUCUCACCUUCUGGAGAAUCACGAUGCCCUUAAUUGGGUGUCGUGUGGAACCAGGACCUUUACCUUGAAAAAAUUAGAGUGUUUAAAGCAGGCAUUUUGCCCGAAUACAUUAGCAUGGAAUAAUAAAAUAGGACGGCUUGGUUCUAUUUUGUUGGUUUCUAGGAUCACCGUAAUGAUUAAUAGGGAUAGUUGGGGGCAUUAGUAUUCAAUUGUCAGAGGUGAAAUUCUUGGAUUUAUUGAAGACUAACUACUGCGAAAGCAUUUGCCAAGGAUGUUUUCAUUAAUCAAGAACGAAAGUUAGGGGAUCGAAGACGAUCAGAUACCGUCGUAGUCUUAACCAUAAACUAUGCCGACUAGGAAUCAGACGAUGUUAAUUUUUUAAUGACUCGUUUGGCACCUUACGGGAAAC